rnacentral:rRNA from 1 species
GUCCACGCCGUAAACGAUGCGCACUAGGUAUGAGAGGUUUAACGCCGAUCGUGCCGGAGCAAAAGUGCUAAGUGCGCCGCCUGGGGAGUACGGCCGCAAGGCUAAAACUCAAAGGAAUUGACGGGGGCUCACACAAGCGGUGGAGCAUGUGGAUUAAUUCGAAGCAACGCGAAGAACCUUACCUGGGUUUGACAUGCUAGGAUGCUCUCUUGGAAACAGGAGUAGGCUGCCUUCGGGUGAAACUAGCACAGGUGCUGCAUGGCUGUCGU